AUAUAUUUUGUAAAAAAAAAAUCUGUUCUUAUCAGUUUAAUAUCUGAUACGUCCCCCAUCGGGGGACUACAUAUUAAAUGGAUUUUUCGAACAGGGAGUCGGAAAUGGGGCUUGCUCCGUCCGCUC
rnacentral:snRNA from 8 species